UGUUCGACCAGACUUGAACUCCCCUUGGGGUUGUCUGCUCUUGUGCCGUAAUAAUAAUAAUAAUAACAAUAAUUCUACUCCUCUAAUGCUACUUCACAAGUCCGCUAGUUGCAGAGCAUAUUGUUCGUCAUCAAGAAGCAAAAGGUCGACGAGGACGAUGUCAACGUCAGCGCUAGAGGUAAGUACAGCGCAUGCAGACGAAGCCGUGUCAAGCAAAUUUCAAAGCUAAGAAAAUUAAUCAUUGUCGUCGAUGGAAUUAGUGUUCAGCGGGUACGCAGUUAUGAUUUGCUCAUGUGCACCGAGUGUACAUUGUCAUUAUCUGGAAAACAUAAUUAUAUUCACAGCGGAAGUGAAGUGGAAUAAAUGCCGUAAUGCCGGAUAUAUGGAUACAUCAUACAUGUACAGCAAGUACAGAUGUGCGCGCAGUCUAUCUGGCCAUGUAUCCGCUGCAGGAUGCAGGGAUGCAGGAGAUAUCUAUUCCUGCGAAUUGAAUUAGGAGGAUCUGCAUGGAAUUUAAUAGGGACAGGGGCGGUGCCUCACUGCCUGCGCUCCUGCAGUGCGUAGCUGAGCGGCAGACGGAUGUCGUUGGCGCGUUCGGCCAACACGUACACAACGGCUGCGUGCCGGGAUGCAUGUGCAUAACGUGUGCAGAUGGAUGUACGGUAUAGUGCAACCGGAAACGCCAGAUCGCCUGUCCUGCAUCAUCAGUCUAUUCCUGCCUAUACAUGCGACGGCUCUCGGCCAAAUUUAGCACAACCUGUCCCAUUCAGCUGCACAUGUCAGGGCCCCGCUCUUCUCCACGCAGCCGGAUAAAUAGCUAAUUAAUUUGACUGUCUGAUAAUAGGUACAGAGUACAGACUGCACAGCCAACCAGGACGCCGAAGAUCCGCUACGUUACCCAUCAACACAUUUCCAAUAUGUACAUGCGUACUAAUAUUAAGUAUUAUUAUUUUUGUAUACAUGUAAUAAUUAAAGGCAUGAGAUUAGUUUUCCUACUAUGCUAAAGAUGCUGAUAUGGAGAAGCUGUCUGCUUUGUGCCGGAAUUUAAGCAUCACUGCAGCAUGCAAGCGGUUCUCUCUGGACUAGAGACCGGAAGUAAAUUAGCCGGCAUUAUGGCCACUUCCAACGGUGCUGCUUAUUGUGGCCAUAUCACUUUACCGGGCUAAGAAACCUGGCUAACCAACGUCGCCCCAGUUCUCCCAGCGAUCGCGAAGAAAGAGUACACGCUCCACAUUCCCGUCGACCGGAAACCGCGGAACACUUUCCCUCCAGGAGCAAAUGGCUGUCUAAUGGCUGCUCAACGUAACCCAACCGGCGGGCCUUCACUUUCCAUGCACUGACCAGCAUUAGCCAAUUUAGCCCAGCAGCGACAACCCUAAUAUUCCCUGACGUUUGGCUGUGUCGCUUCGCGGUUUCGCACGUCAACAUCUUAUUGCCGACGCCCGUACAAAGUACUCUAUAGUCAAACGGCCAAACGCCAGAAUUCAACAUGCGUGUAAUCCGCAGCCGUCGCGCUACGACGACGAAUAUGCCGUGCGCCGUACGAGAAGCCAGCCAGCGAAGAGGGAUAAACAGCGGAAAUGCUCUUGAAGCCAACUUCCGGCUUAUUCCAUUCUUAUCCGAUUAAAAUAGCCAGCUUAUUUAUGCAUUUAUACAUUUAGACAUUUACAACGACAGUCAACUGCUAUGAGUGCAGUUGCAAUAUACGAGUACCUGCAUAUAAUAUACACGAUGUUAACACAGCACGUUGCAGCGAGGGAAAGAUCGGCUCGGCAACAGUGCAGCUG